rnacentral:rRNA from 1 species
UAAUACGGGGGGGACAAGCGUUGUUCGGAUUUACUGGGCGUAAAGGGCGCGUAGGCGGGCCAUCAAGUCGGAUGUGAAAACCAGCAGCUCAACUGCUGGCCUGCAUUCGAUACUGUUGGUCUUGAGUACAGGAGAGGAGAGCGGAAUUCCAGGUGUAGCGGUGAAGUGCGUAGAUAUCUGGAGGAACACCGGUAGCGAAGGCGGCUCUCUGGCCUGAUACUGACGCUCAAGCGCGAAGGCUUGGGGAGCAAACAGGAUUAGAUACCCUGGUAGUCCAAGCGGUAAACGAUGGGUACUAGGUGUCGGGGGUAUCGACUCCCUCGGUGCCGAAGCUAACGCAUUAAGUACCCCGCCUGGGGAAUACGGUCGCAAGGCUG